GGAUAUUUCUUCAAGCUUUAGUCGGCUGGAGCCUGCUUCAGUUUCAGUCAAGGCUGUGUUUCCCCUGUAAUUGAGUUUCAACCUGUUGUAUGCUUGUGGCCGCAGCUUCUCUACUCUUUUGCUUUUCUUUACUGUUUUAAAGAACUGUAAAACUAUAUAUGGUUUCCUUAAUGAAGCUGGGGGGAACCCUUUGAUAAAAAAAAAUGGGUAAUCAGUGCACAAGAGUACCUCGGUUCACAGAAACGGUGGUAAUUUGAAAAAAAGAAGUUAAAAAAGGUUGUCCCAAAUGUGAUGGUUUUGUGUAAUUUUCUCUAACAAUAAUAUGGACGAACAAAUGUCUUAAUUAUUUUCUACAAAUGCGUCCAUUUCUAAAGAUGACCAGUUUCGAACCACAACCGGCAGGCAAAAUGACGCCACAGCUCUAUUACCGUCGGCACUCAAGAUUAUGCGCCCU
rnacentral:lncRNA from 1 species